rnacentral:rRNA from 1 species
UACGAAGGUUGCAAGCGUUUACUCGGAAUUACUAGGCGUAAAGGGCAGGUAGGUGGUUUGGUAAGUCUAUUGUGAAAGCUCCUGGCUUAACUGGGAGAGGCCAAUGGAUACUGCCAAGCUUGAGUAUAGGAGAGGUUACUGGAAUUCCCGGUGUAGCGGUGAAAUGCGCAGAUAUCGGGAGGAACACCAAUGGCGAAAGCAGGUAACUGGACUAUUACUGACACUCAACUGCGAAAGCUAGGGGAGCAAAUAGGG